AUGGCAACUGAUGGGGAUGGCAGAAUUUCUAUGAGUUCCAGGAGCUGGCCAGGAGUGUCCAGAAACAGGAGAACUGUAAUGGGAGCCCAGAGGCUGGUGUGGGCCCCACGCUGGGAGCGACAGCUUGGAGGAGAAGCUGAGCCUGUGCUUCCGCCCCACUUCGGAGGCUGAGCCCUCACGGGCAGCCAUGCGGCCCAUCAUGGAGUGCACCCUCCUGCAGGAGAACAGGGAACGAGAUAUGGAAUGCCCUGACAGAUAACUAUGGGAAUGUCAUAACUGUAGACUGGAAGUCGACCUUGCGUUUGCUUACUCUGAACCUCUUAGAGAAAGGGAUGAAAGAUGGCUUGCUCUUUGAUACCUCAGAUGAGGAGGAGCAGAGGUAAAAGUUGGAUAUGCAUUCAAUCAUUGUCUCCUGUGUCAAGGAGAAGAAGCCUCUCUUCACUGCAGACCAGGUGAUUGAAGAAAUUGAGGAAAUGAUGCAGGAGUCACCAGACCCAGAAGACGAUGAGACACCAACACAGUCAGACCGUCUCUCCAUGCUCUCCCAGGAGACUCAAACUCUCAAGAGGUAGUCUAGCAUGAGCAGCUAUGAAGAGCGAGUGAAAAGGCUGUCGGUGUCUGAGCUAAACGAACUGCUGGAAGAAAUUGAGAUAGCCAUUAAAGAGUACUCUGAGGAGCUGGUGCAACAGUUGGCCCUGAGAGAUGAACUGGAGUUUGAGAAGGAAGUAGAAAACAGCUUCAUUUCUGCUCUGAUUGAGGUGCAGAACAAGCAGAAAGAACACAAAGAGACAACCAAGAAGAAGAAGAAGCUCAAAAGUGGCAGCUCUCAGAACGGGAGGAGUGAGAGAAGUCACAUGCCAGGCACAUAUUUGACGACAGUCAUCCCUUACGAGAAGAAGAAUGGCCCACGCCCACCGUCCCUUGAAGAUCUUCAGAUAUUAACCAAAAUUCUGCAUGCCAUGAAGGAGGACAGUGGGAAAGUUCCAAGCUUGUUAACCGACUAUAUUAUACUGAAAGUUCUGUGUCCGACAUAGAGCGGCGUUAUGGUGGGAGCUGCUUCCUGUUCUGUGGACCCCAGGCUUGAUUGACUUCCUAUGGUGUUACUGUGGAACAUGCUGCCACGAGUCCCGGCUUUUGGAGACCCAGCACACUUGAACUUGGAUUUGCAAUUCAGUAUUCAUAGAUCGUUACUUCACUAAUCCAUCACAUUAUAGCACCACGAGAGCUACAGGACUCCUGAAUUGUAGAGAUAGGUUUUGGUACAUGUGAACUUGUUUCUAAGUUAACAGUCAACGAGAAGGACAUGAAUCGCGCUUGUUGUUGUUUUUGACAGUGUGACUGUCAGUUUUGAUUCCUCAGUCUGACCUGCACAGAAGAACUAGACUAAAGCACCGGUCGGUCCAACUGUGGCUGUUCUGUAGUGAGGGUGAGAAUCAGUGUUUUAGAGCAUCUUCAGAAUAUUACCUACCAGUAUUGUCCAGAAACAGAAAU